CAGCCGCCGCGGUAAUACGUAGGUGGCAAGCGUUGUCCGGAAUUAUUGGGCGUAAAGGGCUCGCAGGCGGUUUCUUAAGUCUGAUGUGAAAGCCCCCGGCUCAACCGGUGAGGGUCAUUGGAAACUGGGAAACUUGAGUGCAGAAGAGGAGAGUGGAAUUCCACGUGUAGCGGUGAAAUGCGUAGAGAUGUGGAGGAACACCAGUGGCGAAGGCGACUCUCUGGUCUGUAACUGACGCUGAGGAGCGAAAGCGUGGGGAGCGAACAGGAUUAGAUACCCGGGUAGUCCCUGUCUCUUAUAC
rnacentral:rRNA from 1 species